rnacentral:rRNA from 1 species
UGCAGUCGAGCGGUUUUGGUNUUCGGGGACUUUAGCGGCAAACGGGCGAGUAACACGUGGACGACUGCCCCCCGCCCCGGNAUAGCCUGGCCUGCCUGGNGGAAUACCGGAUGAGACCGGACCCUCGGAGGGGGGAUCCGGAAAAAGUGCUGCGGGGCCGCCGGGGGAUGAGUCUGUUUCCCAUUAGCUGGACGGCGGGGUAACGGCCCACCGUCACCGACGAUGGGUAGGGGGCCUGAGAGGAUGGACCGCCNCAUUGGAACUGAGACACGGACCAGACUCCUACGGGAGGCAGCAGNUAAGAAUCUUCCGCAAUGGGCGAAAGCCUGACGGAGCGACGCCGCGUGAACGAUGAAGGCCCUGAGGUUUUAAAUUUCUUUU